UACGGAGGGGGCUAGCGUUGUUCGGAAUUACUGGGCGUAAAGCGCACGUAGGCGGCUUUGUAAGUCAGAGGUGAAAGCCCGGGGCUCAACUCCGGAAUUGCCUUUAAGACUGCAUCGCUCGAAUUGUGGAGAGGUAAGUGGAAUUCCGAGUGUAGAGGUGAAAUUCGUAGAUAUUCGGAAGAACACCAGUGGCGAAGGCGACUUACUGGACACAUAUUGACGCUGAGGUGCGAAAGCGUGGGGAGCAAACAGG
rnacentral:rRNA from 1 species